CUAUUUUGAAUUCCAUGAUAACAUCUAUUGACAAAAAUCGGGGACUGCGAUGGGUACGAGAAUGGACCCCUCCUUUGCUAACCUAGUCGUGGGAUAUCUAGAAAUUAGUCUUUAUUGUACGGU